rnacentral:rRNA from 1 species
GUCGUCCCCACCUUCCUCCGAGUUGACCCCGGCAGUCUCCUAUGAGUCCCCGCCAUAACGCGCUGGCAACAUAGAACGAGGGUUGCGCUCGUUGCGGGACUUAAUAGAGUUUGAUUCCUGGCUCAGGAUGAACGCUGGCGGCGUGCUUAACACAUGCAAGUCGAACGAUGAUCCCAGCUUGCUGGGGGAUUAGUGGCGAAUCGGGUGAGUAACACGUGAGUAACCUGCCCUUGACUCUGGGAUAAGCCUGGGAAACUGGGUCUAAUACCGGAUACGACCAUCUGGCGCAUGUCAUGGUGGUGGAAAGCUUUUGUGGUUUUGGAUGGACUCGCGGCCUAUCAGCUUGUUGGUGGGGUAAUGGCCUACCAAGGCGACGACGGGUAGCCGGCCUGAGAGGGUGACCGGCCACACUGGGACUGAGACACGGCCCAGACUCCUACGGGAGGCAGCAGUGGGGAAUAUUGCACAAUGGGCGCAAGCCUGAUGCAGCGACGCCGCGUGAGGGAUGACGGCCUUCGGGUUGUAAACCUCUUUCAGUAGGGAAGAAGCGAAAGUGACGGUACCUGCAGAAGAAGCGCCGGCUAACUACGUGCCAGCAGCCGCGGUAAUACGUAGGGCGCAAGCGUUAUCCGGAAUUAUUGGGCGUAAAGAGCUCGUAGGCGGUUUGUCGCGUCUGCUGUGAAAGACCGGGGCUCAACUCCGGUUCUGCAGUGGGUACGGGCAGACUAGAGUGCAGUAGGGGAGACUGGAAUUCCUGGUGUAGCGGUGAAAUGCGCAGAUAUCAGGAGGAACACCGAUGGCGAAGGCAGGUCUCUGGGCUGUAACUGACGCUGAGGAGCGAAAGCAUGGGGAGCGAACAGGAUUAGAUACCCUGGUAGUCCAUGCCGUAAACGUUGGGCACUAGGUGUGGGGGACAUUCCACGUUUUCCG